AGGAAAAUGAGGAGUUCCCAUUUAGACUUAGUGAAUUCUAAAUGCUGCCAGGACAUUCGACUGAAGAUGACCAGCAAGAGGAUGAAGAAGAGGAGGAAGAGCAGGGGUUGCUCUUGCUGUUUCAGGGGCGGCAGAGGUGGAAGAAAAUCUGAGUAUAUGUAGACUCACACAGUUCAAACCCAUAUUGAUCAAGAGAACAUGUGUGAUGGACUCAUGGACUCAUUCACUGCAUCGAUCUUGGACACUGCCCAGCUUCAUGCUCCACUCUCCCAUUUAUCCCAAAUUUCUGAGGAGUUCCUGGCUAAGAACCAUCACUUUCCAGAGCUCAUUAUUUUCUGUUAUUUGACUCAACAGCACAA